rnacentral:misc_RNA from 1 species
GAUGAAGAACGUAGUGAAAUGCGAUAAGUAAUGUGAAUUGCAGAAUUCAGUGAAUCAUCGAAUCUUUGAACGCACCUUGCGCCCUUUGGCUAUUCCGAAGGGCAUGCCUGUUUGAGUAUCAUGAACACCUCAACUCCUCAUGGCUUGCCAUGAUGAGCUUGGACUUGGGGGUCUUGCUGGCCUGUGGUCAGCUCCUCUCAAAUGAAUCAGCUUGCCGGUUUUUGGUGGGCAUCACAGGUGUGAUAACUAUCUACGCUUGUGGUUUUCCACCAGGGUAACCUUCAGCAGUGGAGGUUCACUGGAGCUUACAAAUGUCUCUCCUCUGUGAGGACAGCCCUUUGAAUGUUUGAUCUCAAAUCAGGUAGGACUACCCGCUGAACUUAAGCAUAUCAAUAAGCGGAGGA